UCAUUGAGGACUUCAGCAUCAAGCUGGUCUCUGAGAGAAGCCUUUAAAAUAAGUUCCAUGCCCCUGCGGUCCCUUGCUUAGAUUCAACAAACUCUCCCUCACUCUGCUACCUGACAAAUUCGGCUCAAAUAGAAGCUUUCUUCCACCCUAUGCUGCCAUCAUUUGCCAUCUUGUCAUCAGUGAGUUUUCCCCUUGAAUCUGAUUUCCUCGUUCAUCACUCGGCUACGCUGUGAGCAUCAAGAAGGCAGCUCUCUUUGUAGUUUCUUUAUCUUCACCUUUAUGUCCCUGGCCCCUUUCUCCAGCCAUGACACAUGGUGGAUGCUCAGUAAAUGUUGGCCAAAGGGGUGAAGUGAUGAACGGCGAAAACCCAUGUCAUCUUGUUAUGCCUGAAGGGAACCAGGCUUUGGGGAUGCAGGAAGCUGACUUUCUCUGUGGCAGUUUCGGGCUGUGGAGUUCUAUGGGGCCAUUGCCAUGGCAGGUAAUUUGCAAGCCCUGGAGAGACCCUUAUGGGUGAUCAUGGUUGUCUCCUCUCUAGAGCCAGUUGUCCACGUACCACUGAAAAGGAACCUACGGAGGGGCUGCUGCGAUGGCCCUGUCUACUGAUGGUUUCAGAGAUCUGAGCUGUAGAAAGCUUCUGAAAGCCCCUGGGUGGGGUUAUUUUAUAGCUCUUCAGGAUGGCCAAUUAUUUGAGGGCCUGAAACAGUUGGAGGGCUCAGGAAUACAACAGAGGCUGUGUAACCGCAGCUCUGCAACUGAACUUCAGAAGAGUCCUUUGGCCAGGACUCUAGCUUAGGAAAAGAGAUAGCAGUUUGUCACAUUCUGCUAAGGUGAGUUGACAUUAUCCCUCUGGUCUAGUGCUGGAUUUGAGCUUUCUGUUCUUUUGGAAAUGUCCCUCACUGGAUCUUAAUUGCUUCCUUCUCCUCCUCCUUUUCCCCACUUCACUUCUUUUCUCCUUUCACCAUGCAAAGCUUUUUCGUUUCCAAGACACUUGUGAGGAUUCACCUCUCUCCUUUAGAUCAGUAGUCUCCAACCUUUUUGACACUAGGGACCAGUUUUGUGGAAGACAAUUCUUCUAUGGACUAGGGGAAAGGGGGAUGAUUCAGGAUGAUUCAAGCACAUUACGUUUAUUGCACACUUUAUUUCUAUUAUUAUUACA
rnacentral:lncRNA from 1 species